CGAGGCGGUGCCUAAUACAUGCAAGUCGAGCGGACAGAAGGGAGCUUGCUCCCGGAUGUUAGCGGCGGACGGGUGAGUAACACGUGGGUAACCUGCCUGUAAGACUGGGAUAACUCCGGGAAACCGGAGCUAAUACCGGAUAGUUCCUUGAACCGCAUGGUUCAAGGAUGAAAGACGGUUUCGGCUGUCACUUACAGAUGGACCCGCGGCGCAUUAGCUAGUUGGUGAGGUAACGGCUCACCAAGGCGACGAUGCGUAGCCGACCUGAGAGGGUGAUCGGCCACACUGGGACUGAGACACGGCCCAGACUCCUACGGGAGGCAGCAGUAGGGAAUCUUCCGCAAUGGACGAAAGUCUGACGGAGCAACGCCGCGUGAGUGAUGAAGGUUUUCGGAUCGUAAAGCUCUGUUGUUAGGGAAGAACAAGUGCAAGAGUAACUGCUUGCACCUUGACGGUACCUAACCAGAAAGCCACGGCUAACUACGUGCCAGCAGCCGCGGUAAUACGUAGGUGGCAAGCGUUGUCCGGAAUUAUUGGGCGUAAAGGGCUCGCAGGCGGUUUCUUAAGUCUGAUGUGAAAGCCCCCGGCUCAACCGGGGAGGGUCAUUGGAAACUGGGAAACUUGAGUGCAGAAGAGGAGAGUGGAAUUCCACGUGUAGCGGUGAAAUGCGUAGAGAUGUGGAGGAACACCAGUGGCGAAGGCGACUCUCUGGUCUGUAACUGACGCUGAGGAGCGAAAGCGUGGGGAGCGAACAGGAUUAGAUACCCUGGUAGUCCACGCCGUAAACGAUGAGUGCUAAGUGUUAGGGGGUUUCCGCCCCUUAGUGCUGCAGCUAACGCAUUAAGCACUCCGCCUGGGGAGUACGGUCGCAAGACUGAAACUCAAAGGAAUUGACGGGGGCCCGCACAAGCGGUGGAGCAUGUGGUUUAAUUCGAAGCAACGCGAAGAACCUUACCAGGUCUUGACAUCCUCUGACAACCCUAGAGAUAGGGCUUUCCCUUCGGGGACAGAGUGACAGGUGGUGCAUGGUUGUCGUCAGCUCGUGUCGUGAGAUGUUGGGUUAAGUCCCGCAACGAGCGCAACCCUUGAUCUUAGUUGCCAGCAUUCAGUUGGGCACUCUAAGGUGACUGCCGGUGACAACCCGGAGGAAGGUGGGGAUGACGUCAAAUCAUCAUGCCCCUUAUGACCUGGGCUACACACGGGCUACAAUGGAAAAAAACAAAGGGU
rnacentral:rRNA from 1 species